UACGUAGGUGGCAAGCGUUGUCCGGAUUUACUGGGCGUAAAGAGCGCGCAGGCGGUCGUGCAAGUCGCGUGUGAAAGCCCCCGGCUCAACUGGGGAGGGUCACGCGAUACUGCUCGACUCGAAGGCAGGAGAGGGAAGUGGAAUUCCCGGUGUAGUGGUGAAAUGCGUAGAUAUCGGGAGAAACACCAGUGGCGAAGGCGACUUCCUGGCCUGUUCUUGACGCUGAGGCGCGAAAGCUAGGGUAGCAAACGGG
rnacentral:rRNA from 1 species